rnacentral:tRNA from 1 species
GCCCUUGUAGCUCAAUGGAUAGAGCAGGCCCGUCCUAAGGGCAAGAUGGGGGUUCAAUUCCCUUCAAGGGUA